rnacentral:lncRNA from 1 species
UUCUCUCUCUAACACAGUCACACACGCAGUUUCUCUCUCUCUUCUAUAUACUCCAUUAGUAUCACUGAACUGGUACAGAUUUCGCGGGUAUUUACAGGCCCCUGCUUUUUUCUUUCUUCUCCGGCAUCGAAGAAAAUACAUUACGUGAAUUACGAGGAGAUCCUUUUGCUGCAAAUUCCUUUCUUUGCUUUCGGUGUACGUUCAGUAACGUAUAGGAUCUUCAUUGAAAUCAAUUAUAAAUGAGACAUUUCUUGAUAUCUUAUGAGGUAUAUAUAUAUGCUCUUUUCUGUUUUUAGUUUAUCAAACGUUCAUUGAGUUGAUUCUGGACUCUUGUAGCUAUAAAUAUAAAUGAUGAAUUUCUUUGGUUGUUUAGCUCUAAAAAGCUUGGAUCUGUAAUCUGUGAGACUUUAGGUUCAGCUGUGAAAUAUGUGUUUGUGUG